rnacentral:rRNA from 1 species
CCUACGGGUGGCAGCAGUGGGGGAUAUUGCACAAUGGGGGGAACCCUGAUGCAGCGACGCCGCGUGGGUGAAGAAGCGCCUCGGCGCGUAAAGCCCUGUCAGCAGGGAAGAAAAUGACGGUACCUGAAGAAGAAGACCCGGCUAACUACGUGACAGCAGCCGCGGUAAGACGUAGGGGGCAAGCGUUAUCCGGAUUUACUGGGGGUAAAGGGGGGGCCGGCGGGGUUGCAAGCCAGGAGUGAAAGCCCGGGGGCCAACCCCGGGACUCGUCUUGGAACUGCGUGGCUGGAGUGCAGGAGGGGCAGGCGGGAUUCCUGGGGUAGCGGUGAAAUGCGUAGAUAUCAGGAGGAACACCGGUGGCGAAGGCGGCCUGCUGGACUGCAACUGACGUUGAGGCCCGAAAGCGUGGGGAGCAAACAGGAUUAGAUACCCGUGUAGUC